rnacentral:misc_RNA from 1 species
CGCAUGCGUGCACUCGUCAAAGCCGGCAGCCAUCAUCCAUCGGUGCACACACACACACACGAUCAAAACAAGAGUAUGGUAGGAAGAAGCCACGGUGACGAAGUGGUGGCCCUCAGUCUCUCUCUCUCUCUCUGUGCAUGUGUACGUCUAUGGCCCAGCCUAAAACACCCGCACGGGUACGAUAAGCAGCACACGCAGCAGCACCGCGAAAGACUGCAUUCUUUUAUUGCUGUUGUUGUUUCUGCUAUUUCACACCUCUGCUCGCCUGUUCUAGUGGGUCGCUGUGCGCUUGGUCGAGAAGAUGGGCUCACUGUUUCAGCUGCGCGACUUCUGGUCCACCUCUUUUCCGGGGGAGGAGUUCAGCCCCUCCGCCGUGGUCCUCGCCGACCCAGAUGUCAGCAAUCUCUUCGACAAGAUUGUGCUGGGAUCCUAUCAAGGCAUGCUGCGCAUUCUGAACCCGAGUGUCACCCAGGGUCCAAUGCUGCCCGGCGAUGUGCUGCUUGAAAAGAAGUACGAUGAGCCUAUCCUGCAGCUGGAUUGCGGCCCUUUCCGCCCCUUCAAGUCUGGCGUGCCGCCCAACAUUCUGGCGGUGCUCUUUCCGCGCACGCUCAUGUUCCUCGAGAUUGCUGCGCACGGCAGCGACAACGCGAAUGCGAUGAACGCGCCGAACCCGACGAGCAGCGGCACCGCCGGCAACGAGCUCGCUGCGGAGGUGACGUCAUCGUCCACCCCGGACGCGCAGCUGCGUCACCGCUAUGCGCACGGCAGCAGCUCGAAUGUGCCGGACACCUUCUCGUCGCUCAAGGAGCUCGGCGCCUUCUACACCCUAACGGUUCAGAGCGAGUCUCGCCUCCUGUCCACUGCCUACAACUUCGCGUGUGGCUGCUUCGGCAACAGCGACUACAAGAUGGUCUGUGUUCAGUCGAUGGAUGGCUCGCUGACGAUUCUGGACUACGGCGGCGUGCUAUAUCGCACCUUUUUGCCGCAGAAUCAAUUUCUUAUUCCCGGCCCGAUGCAAUACAGCAUGCACCGCGAUGCCUUGCUGACGUGCAACACCUCCAUGUUUCUGCUAAGCUACAGCUUCAGCUCUCUGGUCUUGAACAGUACCGCGGAAGAUGUGGCAGCAACGACGGCCGGCGCCGUGGCCGCGAGUCGCUUCUCCAGCCUUUGUCCACUGUGGACGUUCAAUCUGGGCGAGGACGCGGUCGACAUCGCGGUAUGCCGUCUUACGCGUGGCUUGACGCGUGAGGAGGCGGAUGUGGUGGUGCUUUGCACCUCGGCCCUGUACGUGCUGAGCGAGAGCGGCGAGCCGCGCAUGAUCCGUCGACUGGACGUGGAGGCGUCGGCCCUGUGCGUAUACCCGCUGCCUGGCAUCCAGUACGACAACCUACUCGUCGGGACCUUCAACGGUCUUGUGCAAGUUUACUCGGACACGGAGCUGCAGUGGAGCGCCGCUGUCUCCAGUGGCGCCGCGCCGCUGCAGCUCACGGUCGCCACGCUGUGCGGCGUUGAAGGCAUGAUUGUGAAUCUUGCCUCCGACAGCUCCCUUAGCAUCAACUACCUUGGCACCGACCCCGUUGAUCAGCUACCGGAGUCGCUGGAGACGAAGUCCAUCCCCUACACAGAGAUCGUGAACGACCUGAAGCAGUAUGAGCAGCUCAUUCAUGGGUGCUUGGGCGAUGCUGCGAGUGCUACCGAGGACGGCGACGAGGAUGACCCGCUCGCCAUCCCAGGCAAGCCGCUGUCGUUCAUGGGUGGAAAAAGCAAGAAGAAACGUGGUGCCGGCAAAGCGGAGGAGGGGGCAGCGUCGUCAGGCAUCCAGACGGCAGCAGCGCCGAGUCGCAGCACUGCCGCUGCCGCGGCUUCACUGUUCAUCACAAGCGCAUUUUCGAGCAUCAGAACGACUGACAACAGCGCCGAGCUCACCGUCACGCUGCAGACGCUCCAUAAUCACGUCGAGGCGGUCUCUCUCGUGCUGCAGGCCGUACCGCCACUGUUGGCGACGCCGUGUCAGUGCGUCAUCGAGCAGAUUACGCCAGAGAGCAGUGUCCAGCGCACCUUCACGGUCCACGCCAUUCAGGACAGGGACCUGAUCAUUCCCUCAUCGCUAGAUGUGGUGGUGGUAGCGGUGUACCGCGGUCAACGACGCGAGUACGAGACGGUGCAGCACGUGGCACUGGCGCCGUUCCCACUGGUGGCUCGCCCCGUCGCCCCCGCCAAGAACACGGCGUUUUCGCUGCAGCUCAAUACCGACCAGAGCCAGCCGCCGUCGCUCAUCGACGUGUUUGCGGACAUGGCUCCUCUCGGACAUGUGACGGGGAACGUCCUCUCGCUGCACUACCUGAACGGUGCGGAUGCAACGGUGCUCGUGUCCAAGAAUGCGGCGCGCUUUAAGCUGCAGGGAUCCACGAUGGAGGGGUUGUGGCUGCUUGCCGCGGAGCUCACGCGACGCCUACGACUCUGCUGCGGUGGCGCCGCGGCAUUGAAACUCGAGGUCGCAGAUGAUCUUCCAGUGCCUGACUUUCUCGCGGUGGUGGACACGCACUGGGCGAUUCGGCGCGAAAUGGUGGCCGCCUCGGCGGCGCUCGACGACGCUGCCGCGCUUUUCCGCGCCGUGGAGAAGCGGCUGCUGGCGCGCUUCCGCGACCGCAGCCCAGCUGACGCGACGGCGUUGGGCGUGCUCUUUCAAGAAGGCUACAAGCUGCUCCGGGAGAGGGCAGACGCAGUGACGCGAGCAAAGACGCGGAUGCGGCAGGCCUCGGCCAUGCUGAAUUGCUGCGCGCAGCUUUUCUGGUUCUGUCUGAAGAUCAAAUCUCCACUGCUUGCCCCUGAAGAUGCGGAGACCCUGUCGACGCUGUUCCGCUGCUCCGUCGCCGAUGACAACGACGGAGGCUGGGAGGAGGUGACGGAGGCGGUGCUGGCAAAGGUGCUGAACGUGAAGACAAAGAAGGUGGCUAGUAACAAUCUCGAGCUCUCCUCCAGUACCGCGAACUUGAAAAAGCACAUUGGAACGCUGAUAAGCAUGGUGCAGUCUGGCCAGAAGCUCGGCUCCGCAACAGAAGGGGCAGGGGCUUGAACGCACUCAGGGUAGGAAUGCAAUGACUACCGCCCUCCCCCUCCCCCCCCCCACGACGACAGUCCUCGCGGUGCCAUUUCGGACGCCUAGCAGUGUGGAAUCGAGUGCCCUAUAUCCAAUCCCACUCACCUUCCCUCUCUACCUCCUCCCGAAACCUCCUCGCCAGCAUCUGCGGCAGGACGCACGCUUUUGGGAUUCGGUAAUAGAGGAAUGAAAGACGGCGAUGGGUCCUUGUGCCUGAUGGGGGCGUCUGCAGUUGUCUUUGCGGAUGCCGACAUUUGUAUGUUUAUUUAUAUAUAUAUAUGUGUGUGUGUGUUCGGCUCUUGCUCGUUAUGGCCUUUUAUACGUUCUCUGCGCCGUUCAACCGGCGUUUUCACGCCCUCGGACCCUCCCAUCGGUGACGUGAUGUAUCUCUCUUCGGGCGUGCCUGUGCUGGAUCCGGAACGAGCGUGCACGGCGUCAUCCCCCUCGCUCUUUCGAUUAAGUCGAGAAAGUGAACGGCACAUCCGAAAUGAAGGAGGUGACGGCUCAGAGACAGAGAGUUCACCGCCGGCUCUGCAUCCGUGUUGCCUGUUACUGCUGCUUCGCGGCAGUAGCCCUUGACGGGUGUGGAUCGACGUCGGGCACCCUCUCUCUGCCCCUGCCGAAAAAAAAACGCACGCAAAUGCGCUGACAUCGAAGACAGGCAAGGGGCUCAUAAAGACGGUGCGCGGAAUCCGCUCUGCGGUCAUGUGCGGCCUCCUUUGCUGAACGAAGCUCCGCAGCUGUGCUGAAACGACGACGUGAAGUCGCUCUCCCCCCCCCCCCAUUCAAUUGCUACAAGGAGGACGUGCAUGC